GCGGGUGUGGCGGAAUUGGCAGACGCGCUAGCCUUAGGAGCUAGUGUCACCGAUGUGCAGGUUCAAGUCCUGUCACCCGCACCA
rnacentral:tRNA from 1 species